AGCCGGGUGUUGGUGGCGCAUGACUUU
rnacentral:piRNA from 1 species